GCCGGGUGUGGUGGCGCGCGCCUGUAAUCCCAGCUUCUCGGGAGGCUGAGGCUGGAGAAUCGCUUGAACCCGGGAGGCGGAAGUUGCAGUGAGCCGAGUUCAUCCCACUGCACUCCAGCCUGGGCGAUAGAGCGAGACUCCGUCUCCA
rnacentral:SRP_RNA from 1 species